UGGGGAAUUUUGGACAAUGGGCGAAAGCCUGAUCCAGCAAUGCCGCGUGUGUGAAGAAGGCCUUCGGGUUGUAAAGCACUUUUGUCCGGAAAGAAAUCCUUGGCUCUAAUACAGUCGGGGGAUGACGGUACCGGAAGAAUAAGCACCGGCUAACUACGUGCCAGCAGCCGCGGUAAUACGUAGGGUGCAAGCGUUAAUCGGAAUUACUGGGCGUAAAGCGUGCGCAGGCGGUUUGCUAAGACCGAUGUGAAAUCCCCGGGCUCAACCUGGGAACUGCAUUGGUGACUGGCAGGCUAGAGUAUGGCAGAGGGGGGUAGAAUUCCACGUNUAGCAGUGAAAUGCGUAGAGAUGUGGAGGAAUACCGAUGGCGAAGGCAGCCCCCUGGGCCAAUACUGACGCUCAUGCACGAAAAGCGUGGGGGAGCAAACAGGAUUAGAUACCCCUGGUAGUCCACGCCCUAAAACGAUGUCAACUAGUUGUUGGGGAUUCAUUUCCUUAGUAACGUAGCUAACGCGUGAAGUUGACCGCCUGGGGAGUACGGUCGCAAGAUUAAAACUUAAAGGAAUUGACGGGGUCAUAGCUGUUUCCU
rnacentral:rRNA from 1 species